AUACGUAGGUGGCAAGCGUUGUCCGGAAUUAUUGGGCGUAAAGCGCGCGCAGGUGGUUCCUUAAGUCUGAUGUGAAAGCCCCCGGCUCAACCGGGGAGGGUCAUUGGAAACUGGGGAACUUGAGUGCAGAAGAGGAUAGUGGAAUUCCAAGUGUAGCGGUGAAAUGCGUAGAGAUUUGGAGGAACACCAGUGGCGAAGGCGACUGUCUGGUCUGUAACUGACACUGAGGCGCGAAAGCGUGGGGAGCAAACAGGAUUAGAUACCCUGGUAGUCCACGCCGCAAACGAUGAGUGCUAAGUGUUGGGGGGUUUCCGCCCCUCAGUGCUGCAGCUAACGCAUUAAGCACUCCGCCUGGGGAGUACGGUCGCAAGACUGAAACUCAAAGGAAUUGACGGGG
rnacentral:rRNA from 1 species